rnacentral:lncRNA from 1 species
GGACAUCUGAGCACCAAAACACCAAGUAAAGACUUUGUGUCUGACCUGCCAGGAGAUUCCUGGGUUCUCUGGAAACUGCAAGCCAACAGAAGGACAUGGAUUCAGGAUUGUUCCUCAGCAGGGAUAUGAUGCAGCUCAAGCCCCAGCCUAGGACCCCAUGGCAUUCAGGAAUCCAGGCCCUUUCUUUCUUCUGGCUGGGAGCACCCGACAAAUGAAGGAGCUGCUCCAGCAGGAAAGAGUAUCCAUGUCCAUCCCAUAGCUCUGACAGCGUCAGCCCCGAUUGCUCAUCUGUUUCCAAGUACAGCUGAGACAUUUUGCUGGUGGGCAGAGAAGUCAGGGACACUGCAUCCAGCACCCUGCAGCAGAGGAAGCAUUAGUACUGCUGUUGUUAGCCUUGUUAUUUUCUCCUAAUAAAAAGGUGGUCGUGACUCACUCCAUUAAGAAACAAAAGCAGAGUUGUAAUCUACUGAAAGGCAGUUGUUUGGAUGCUCAGCAUUAGGUG